rnacentral:lncRNA from 1 species
GCUCGUUAUUCAUUGUUUCAUCAGUGUGUAACAGACCUCAAUUGUUGCCGCUGUUCCUGAUUAUAACUUUACAGUACAUACAGUAUUCAUAAAUUGUUCUUGGUGUAUGCUUAAUGUUUUUUAAGCGUACUACAGUGAAGAUUUCAAAAUGGGUGAUAAAUGAAAAAAAUUGUAGUGACUAUGGAGGAGAAAUUACGCGCUAUACAGCGACUAGAUUCUGGUGUAAUAGCAAAAAAUAUGAUUUUGGAGUUAAGAGUUGGGAAAAGUAUAGUGAGGGACUGGAAAAAAAUCGAGCAGAAAUUGAAAAGUGGUGUGCUGCACAAGCUAGUGGAAGUGAAAUAAAACUAAGAAAAACCAUGCUGAAAGGU